rnacentral:rRNA from 1 species
GAAUUUUAUAUAUUUUAAGUUAAUUAAUAAAUAGGUUUUUUUGAUUAGUUUAAUAUAUUUAGUUGGGAGAAUUAUUAGAUUAUAAUAACUUUAAUUUUUAGAAAAUAUUGAUUUAUAGACGAAAAAAAUGGUGGUUUUAUAAUUGAAAAAUAAUUACCUUAAGGAUAACAGCGUAAUAUUUUUGGAGAGCUCUUAUUGAUAAAAAUGUUUGC